rnacentral:rRNA from 1 species
AUAGUGAUUAUAACAACAAAAUCACUCGCCAGAGUACUACUAGCAACAGCUUAAAACUCAAAGGACUUGGCGGUGCUUCAUACCCCCUAGAGGAGCCUGUUCUAUAAUCGAUAAACCCCGAUCAACCUCACCAACCCUUGCUAAUUCAGUCUAUAUACCGCCAUCUCCAGCAAACCCCUAUAGGGAUCAAUAGUAAGCUUAACUAUUCAAACAUAAAAACGUUAGGUCAAGGUGUAACCGAUGGGAUGGGAAGAAAUGGGCUACAUUUUCUUGUCCUAAGAAAAUCUCAAAAUACUUACGAAAGCCCCCAUGAAACUGAGGGCCCAAGGAGGAUUUAGUAGUAAAUCAAGAACAGAGUGCUUGGUUGAACUAGGCCAUGGAGCACGCACACACCGCCCGCC